AGAGUUUGAUCAUGGCUCAGAACGAACGUUGGCGGCGUGGAUUAGGCAUGCAAGUCGAACGAAUCCCAGUCCUGUAGCAAUACAGGGCUGGGGGAAGUGGCGAAAGGGGCAGUAAUGCGUGGGUAACGUACCCCCUGGACUGGGAUAGCCUCGGGAAACCGAGGGUAAUACCAGGAGACGUAGCGCGGUCGCAUGGCCGGGCUACCAAAGGGUCCGCCGCCGGGGGAGCGGCUCACGUGGUAUUAGCUAGUUGGUGGGGUAACGGCCCACCAAGGCCGAGAUGCCUAGCAGGUGUGAGAGCAUGACCUGCGCCACUGGCACUGAGACACUGGCCAGACUCCUACGGGAGGCUGCAGUCGAGGAUCUUCGGCAAUGGGCGCAAGCCUGACCGAGCGACGCCGCGUGCGCGAUGAAGGCCUUCGGGUUGUAAAGCGCUGUCGAGGGGGAGGAAAGCCCCGCAAGGGGUCUGACCUAUCCCUGGAGGAAGCACGGGCUAAGUUCGUGCCAGCAGCCGCGGUAAGACGAACCGUGCGAACGUUGUUCGGAAUCACUGGGCUUAAAGGGCGCGUAGGCGGCUUGCCAAGUCCGGGGUGAAAUCUUUCGGCUUAACCGGAAAAGUGCCUUGGAUACUGGCGAGCUUGAGGGAGGUAGGGGCAUGUGGAACUUCCGGUGGAGCGGUGAAAUGCGUUGAUAUCGGAAGGAACGCCGGUGGCGAAAGCGACGUGCUGGACCUCUUCUGACGCUGAGGCGCGAAAGCUAGGGGAGCAAACGGGAUUAGAUACCCCGGUAGUCCUAGCCCUAAACGAUGGGUACUAGGUAGUGGACUUAACAUGGGUUCACUGCCGAAGCAAAAGUGUAAGUACCCCGCCUGGGGAGUAUGGUCGCAGGCUGAAACUCAAGGGAUUGACGG
rnacentral:rRNA from 1 species